UCGAAAGAACACUACUCGAUUCAUAUAGUUCCGAUAAGUGUUAAUUAUCAUUUAACACGUCAGUGCAACUACAAAUGUGGUUUUUGCUUUCACACAGCGAAAACUUCUUUUGUGUUACCCCUGGAAGAAGCGAGAAAAGGUCUUCGGAUGCUUAAAAAGGAAGGUAUGCAGAAAAUUAAUUUUUCUGGAGGAGAGCCAUUUCUACCUGACAGAGGUCAUUUUCUUGGUGAACUUGUGCGCUACUGUAAGGCGGAGCUCUCUCUACCCAGUGUUACCAUAGUCAGCAAUGGCAGUACAGUCAGUGAAGCAUGGUUUAAGAAAUAUGGAAAAUAUUUGGACAUCUUGGCUAUUUCAUGUGAUUCAUUUGAUGAAGAAACUAACUGCAAUAUUGGAAGAGGGAGGGGUACCCACAUUAAGAAGCUGAUGAAAAUUCGUGACUGGUGUCAUCAGUACAAUGUAGCAUUUAAAAUCAAUACUGUGGUGAAUACGGAGAAUCUGGAAGAAGACAUGUCAGAUAAUAUUGUGGCACUGAGGCCUGUACGUUGGAAGGUUUUUCAGUGUCUGCUGCUUAAAGGAGAAAAUGUUGGGGAGAAUGCUCUUCGGAAUGCAGAAAAGUUCUAUGUGACAGAUCAGCAGUUUCAAAAUUUCUUGGACAGACAUAAAAAUGUACCUGUUCUGGUCCCUGAAAGUAACCAAAAGAUGCAGAAUAGUUACCUCAUACUGGAUGAAUAUAUGAGGUUCCUAGAUUGCACAAGGGGGGACAAAAAGCCAUCACUUUCCAUUUUGGACAUUGGUGUAAAGAAUGCACUUAACUUCUCAGGUUUUGAUGAAAAAAUGUUCAAGAAGAGAGGUGGAGUGUAUAAGUGGAGCAAGGCAAGCAUGAACCUUGAUUGGUAAAUGACUGUUACAUGAUGGAUUGAAGGAAAUCUGCCUGACCUUUCUGCAGUACAAAAAUUUCCAGUAUGAAUUUUGACUGGUUUGAAGUUUAUCGUGAGACAACUAUAGACUUGGUGGUUGAACGGGACCUACAAGUGUUUGCCAGUUGCGCCAUGGUAGCCGUAGUGACAGAACAAGGAGUGUUUAUGUAUUCCGUGCUGUUUUAUAACUUUGACGAUUGUAGUGGAAAAGAAAGAACAGUUGAGAUAUAGUUAAUUAAUGCUCGUUUUGGACCUGGAAAGGACAAGAUGUAUAUUCAGAUUCAUAUUGAAAAAGGACAUGGUUAUCAAGCCAACCUUACAUUAUAUCUAAAUCUACUUUGUUUCUAUAGUUUGGAAACGCGAAGAGACUUACUCGAUAAUAUUUGCUUAUG
rnacentral:misc_RNA from 1 species